GACGAGGGAUCCUAGCGUUGUUCGGAAUUAUUGGGCGUAAAGGGUGCGUAGGCGGCCUGACAAGUCUGAUGUGAAAUCCCUGGGCUCAACCCAGGGCCUGCAUCGGAAACUGUCGGGCUUGAGUAUGGGAGAGGUGAGUGGAAUUUCCGGUGUAGCGGUGAAAUGCGUAGAUAUCGGAAGGAACACCUGUGGCGAAAGCGGCUCACUGGACCAUUACUGACGCUGAGGCACGAAAGCUAGGGGAGCAAACAGG
rnacentral:rRNA from 1 species